rnacentral:rRNA from 1 species
GACAGAGGGGGCAAGCGUUGUCCGGAGUUACUGGGCGUAAAGCGCACGCAGGCGGCCCGGCAAGUGUUGUGUGAAAGCUGACGGCUUAACCGUCAGAGGCCAUGACAGACUGCCGAGCUCGAGCCAUACAGAGGCCAGCGGAAUUGCCGGUGGAGCAGUGACAUGCGUAGAUCCCGGCAGGAACGCCCAUGGGGAAGCCAGCUGGCUGGGUAUGUGCUGACGCUCAGGUGCGAAAGCGUGGGGAGCGAACCGG